rnacentral:rRNA from 1 species
UACGUAGGGUGCGAGCGUUGUCCGGAAUUAUUGGGCGUAAAGAGCUUGUAGGCGGUCUGUCGCGUCUGCUGUGAAAAUCCGGGGCUCAACCCCGGAUCUGCGGUGGGUACGGGCAGACUAGAGGUGAUGUAGGGGAGACUGGAAUUCCUGGUGUAGCGGUGAAAUGCGCAGAUAUCAGGAGGAACACCGAUGGCGAAGGCAGGUCUCUGGGCAUUAACUGACGCUGGAGGA